GAUGAACGCUGGCGGCGUGCUUAACACAUGCAAGUCGAACGGAAAGGCCCUGCUUUUGUGGGGUUCUCGAGUGGCGAACGGGUGUGUAACACGUGAGUAACCUUCCCUUGACUUUGUGAUAACUUCAGGAAACUGGGGCUAAUACCGGAUAGGAGCUCCUGCUGCAUGGUGGGGGUUGGAAAGUUUCGGCGGUUGUGGAUGUACUCGCGGCUUAUCAGCUUGUUGGUGGGGUAGUGGCUUACCAAGGCUUUGACGGGUAGCCGGCAUGAGAGGGGGACCGGGGUCAAGAGGACUGAGAGACGGACCAGAAGCGAACGGGAGGCAGCAGGGGGGAAUAUGGCACAAUGGGGGGGAGCGUGAGGCAGAAACGUCGGGUGCGGGAUGACGGCCUUCGGGGUGUAAACCGCUUUCGCCUGUGACGAAGCGUGAGUGACGGUAAUGGGUAAAGAAGCACCGGCUAACUACGUG
rnacentral:rRNA from 1 species